rnacentral:sRNA from 1 species
UUUAAGAAUUUUAUACCAUCUCCAUCGAAGUAUCUGAUUGAGAUACUCAUCAAAUAAAUAAUAAUUAAAAAG